rnacentral:lncRNA from 1 species
UCGCACACCCAUUUACUAUAUUCCCCAAAAUUCUUUUAUACAAAUUAUUACAGAACCAGAAAAGAAGAAAGAAAAUAUAAAAUACAUCAAAAUUAACAGCCAGAUCCGAGAAGCCUAAUUCAAUAUUAAUGUCCAAUAACAUGUGAUUAACCAAAUUCUGGAAUCCAGAUUUCCAAAGCCUUCUCUUUAUCAAUAAAAUACAUCAAAACCAACAGCUAGAUCCGAGAAGCCUAAUUCAAUCUUAAUAUCCAAUAACAUGUGAUUAACCAACUUCCGGAAUCCAGAUUUCCAAAGCCUUCUCUUAUCCAAAGUGUUUCAAAGUUCCAAGGAAUAUCAAGGAUUCCCGGUAGUGCUUCACCUCAGGAUACCAUUAGAAUUAGAAUAGUGUAGUGUGGAAUAGCCAGCCCUCAUGCAUCCAAGUUCAGAGGGAGCUCAGGGGUUCCAAAGCAUGGCUUGCAAGAGAGGGGCAGAAC